rnacentral:sRNA from 1 species
CUCUUACGGAAGAGCGCGACACUCUGCGCGAAGAAGUUAACCGACUUAAUCAGGAGAUACGUCCUGCAUGCCUGGCGUAUGCUCAUCGUAAACUGCGUGGUCAGAUAGUUGAUGAGCUCACGCUUUAUCGCUGGUUUU